rnacentral:misc_RNA from 1 species
GCCUUGAGCCUUUAAUGACUAUGUUAUGUACUAAGGAUGAAAUAGUUCUAUUGAUGGGUUUUUAAUAGAUUAUGAAUCAAUUUCUUUUUGAUGAUUAACAAUAAAUGUACCUUUAAGUUUUGGGAAUAACAACUCAGCCUCUCUCUGUGCCUCUACUAAGCUGCAUAAGAUGAUAUGUAUUACUCUUUAAUGGUUUUUUCUUCCCUUUUCUUACUUACCAUGGAGGUUAGAACAUCAUGUUUGUUUAGUUAAGUUCUUGUAUCUACCUUAGAAUGACAAGGAGCAGAACCUUCUAGCUCCCCCUGUUUAAGUUAAUCUAUUCUAAAAAAAGUUAUUUUUAUUUUCUUUUACUUAUCUCUUUGAAGUAUUUUCAUUUGUAAUUUUGGUAUUACUAAAUUUUUGUCAAGAAAUUAGAAAAUUGUUAAAUAGACGCAUGCAAGUUUAGAUCGUCUCCUGAUGGUUUAAGUUCCAAAACUGUUUAAAGGUUUUCCAGACUAGAAGUGAUUCAAUAGAGGCAUGAAAGCUUAUUUGAUUAUUUUUAUCAAACCCUGUACACUCAAUUUGACUUCAAAACUCAUAAGCAAUGUAUUUAGAAGUAACUAAUAUUGCUGAAACUUCCAAAGGAGAUGGAGUAGGAAGUAUUUUGACCAACUUAUUGAUAUGGCUUCCAUACUUGAUUCCAAGCAUUCUAUAACAACCGAGUUAUUGCUGCAGCAAUGCUAUAAACUGGAUCGUCUCCUAUGCCACUGGCUGAGCUAAGCUUUGUGAUACAGGCUGUGAUUACAAAUAGUUAAAAGGAUCUUAACUUUCCAUUUUUUAAGAAAAAUUGUUAUAAAAAAAUGGACUAAAUGUGCAGGGGAAAUAGUCCAUAAUUUGCGAUUGCUAUCAUAUUCUUGAAAGCCGAAAGUAAUUAAAAAAUAUUUGCAUAUUUCUUCAUUUUUAAUAGUUCUUCCUUUUGUUUAUUUUCUUUAUAGUUUUCUGGAUUAUAGUGAUGUUGAAAAAGUUCCAGGAAGACAUCUGUUGGAUAUUACCAUUUCAUCAUUGUUAUUUGUGUCUUGUUUCUUUCACAAUUUGCAGGAUUUUUAUGUGCUUUUUCAUUCACAGGUAGUCUGGAAUAGCUUUAAAGACCCUGUGGAUGCAAGUAAGUACAUCUAGACCCUUGCUUUUAAUGGUCAAGCCACUAGUGUUCGUUGAAGCUAUUGGGAUGGGAAUGAAAAAUGGUAUUUUUGAGGGACUAA